rnacentral:ncRNA from 1 species
UUUCUCCCGAAAUUUCCCUCAGCACAGCUGGAGUUCAAUUAGUUUGAAGCGGACGAUAAGAGGUAUCAGGGGCGCGUCGUCCUCGGCCUAUUCUCCAGCUCUAAAUGGGUAAGAAUCAAUGCAUACUCAAUUGAACUGCUGGGGUUACAAUGAACUUUAAGCUGCCCACUCCCGGUGAGCAGAACUGGCAUGGGAGAUGCUCCAAACGCUUGCUUAAGGUGCGCAAACACUCGCUUAAGAGAUACCAAAGAAAUGUGCUGGUUCGUUUUGGCAGCAGGACGGUGGCUAUGGAAGGCGAGAUCCAUUAAGUACCGUGUAAAAAAUUACCUGCCGAAUGAACCAGCUCUCAAAAUGGGUGGCGCUGCAGCGUGUUACUGGUAGCACACCACUACUGCGAGUUUCCAAACACUCGAAUUUUUGCGGUAAUAAGUAGGAAGAUGUGAGGAUCGAGGUGAAGCAUUGGGCAUGAUCCUCUAUAGAUCUGUCUCUAGUG